rnacentral:rRNA from 1 species
UGGGUGGCGAGUGGCGGACGGGUGAGGAAUGCAUCGGAAUCUGCCUAUUUGUGGGGGAUAACGUAGGGAAACUUACGCUAAUACCGCAUACGUCCUACGGGAGAAAGUGGGGGACCUUCGGGCCUCACGCAGAUAGAUGAGCCGAUGCCGGAUUAGCUAGUUGGCGGGGUAAAGGCCCACCAAGGCGACGAUCCGUAGCUGGUCUGAGAGGAUGAUCAGCCACACUGGAACUGAGACACGGUCCAGACUCCUACGGGAGGCAGCAGUGGGGAAUAUUGGACAAUGGGCGCAAGCCUGAUCCAGCCAUGCCGCGUGUGUGAAGAAGGCCUUCGGGUUGUAAAGCACUUUUGUCCGGAAAGAAAAGCUUCGGGUUAAUAACCCGGGGUUAUGACGGUACCGGAAGAAUAAGCACCGGCUAACUUCGUGCCAGCAGCCGCGGUAAUACGAAGGGUGCAAGCGUUACUCGGAAUUACUGGGCGUAAAGCGUGCGUAGGUGGUUUGUUAAGUCUGAUGUGAAAGCCCUGGGCUCAACCUGGGAACUGCAUUGGAAACUGGCUGACUAGAGUGCGGUAGAGGGGUGUGGAAUUCCCGGUGUAGCAGUGAAAUGCGUAGAUAUCGGGAGGAACAUCUGUGGCGAAGGCGACACCCUGGACCAGCACUGACACUGAGGCACGAAAGCGUGGGGAGCAAACAGGAUUAGAUACCCUGGUAGUCCACGCCCUAAACGAUGCGAACUGGAUGUUGGGGGCAACUUGGCCCUCAGUAUCGAAGCUAACGCGUUAAGUUCGCCGCCUGGGAAGUACGGUCGCAAGACUGAAACUCAAAGGAAUUGACGGGGGCCCGCACAAGCGGUGGAGUAUGUGGUUUAAU